AAAUGCUGCUGUUGACAGAAUCGAGAUAAUAACACUUCAACCGAGUGGGUUGGUUCAGAAGCAUCUUUAAGUGUUUAACUUCAUUAUUCCAUUUCUUCCUUUUAUUAGCACACACGUGUGCUUAUCAAGCAUCGUUUAAAAACUUCGCUACCAGGUUUGCCAUAUCAGUUUGUUAUCCAGCUUGGAAUGUCGCCAAUUCCAGAUGAAACUGACAACCCAUCUAGAAACGAUCCCAAAUAAAACUGACACUGAUGAGCUGGAAUGCCAGAUCAUUUAUUUUUACCCAGCAGAAGUGUCUUCAAGUGAUGAUGAUGAGGCUGCUGAGGGAGAUAAUGGGGGAUAUGUCUUGCUGCCACAAGAACCAGACAAUGAUGAUGAAGAAAGCAGUGAUGAAACCCAUUUUUCAGGUCUUGAGGCAGCCAGGGAUGGCAGUGAGAUUCCUGUGGAACUAAUGACUGAAAUGCAUGCUUCAGGAAUUGACUUAUCACAGUCAGUAGCCCAAGGUAUCGUGCAAUCCAGCCUUCAUAGCAAAAUUUCCAGACAACAAAGUGCCAUUCUAUUUACAGGUUCCUGAUCCACCAAAGACAAACAAAAGGAGAAGUUUUAUGGAACCAGCCUCGUAAUGACUGUGAACAUCAGCUCAUGGACUCAGCUCAAGCAUCAAAGGUAAAAGAUGGCCAUGGUCAGGUUUUUCAGCUACCCC